AACUAGGUUAAGCUUUAUAGCCUGCUCUGAAAGGUCACAGUGGAGUGUGUUUGGAAACAGCCAGCUCGGGUCUCCUGCGUGACCCUGGGGGGAUGGAGUUUAUAGUUCCUGUUUGUAUGUUCUGGCCUCUCUGUGCUUGUCCGUGGUUACCCAUAAACCAAGGGAAUGUCUUGGCAACUCGGUUAAUCAUCUUAAGAAAAAGAGGCUUCCCAUUGCCUGGUUUUAUUGGUCUUUGUGAGGGGUGUCCUGGAGAAAGGCUUGCAGACAAGCAAAGGGAGGCAGAGCAAAGGGAGACACCCCGUCAUUCCUCAAGCACCAGGCUUAUAGAAUUCUAUCAUGUGACUCUUGCCUGAGAAGCCAUUCCUCUGAAAUUCGAGUUUGGGAUGACAUGUCCCUAGAGAGGACAGAUGUACAUCAGACAGACAAGUCUUCUGCGCGCAUCAUGCCCCACAGAACACAAACAAAACCCAAGGAAGUCAAAAGGAUAAAUAUAUCUAUUUACGGAUCAUGAAAGAACAUUAGUUUGCUGAUUACAAAUAGAGGUGUGGCCGACUUGUUCUUUUUGAGAACAUAUAAAAUAUCUUGUGCCCUGUUUGUAAACAGUGGUCCCCCCAUUGCAAACAAAUGCUACAGGCCCUGGCACAUCUCAGCAACCAUGCAUUUUGUUUCUGGGAUCUGGAACCACCCAUCUGUCUUAGAUUCAUUGCUCCUUGAUAUAAGCAACUUAAGGGAGAGAGGGUUUAUUCUGGCUCAGAGUUCAGGUUACAGUCCACCAAGCUGUAGAAGUCCUAGGGCAGGACCUUGAGGGAGCAGGUGCUACUGUGGCCUGCAGACAAGAGACAGCAUUUAAUGCAUAAUGCCUGUGAUGAUCUGUAUGUGGUUGGCCCAGGGAGUGGCACUAUUAGGAGGUGUGGCCUUAUUGGAAUGGGUAGUCACUGUGGGCAUGGUCUUAAGACCCUCAUCCCAGCUGCCUGGAAGCCAGUCUUCUAGCAGCCUCUAGGUGAAGAUGUAGAACUCUCAGCUCCUCCUGCACCGUGCCUGCCUGGAUGCUGCCAUGCACCCACAUUGAUGACAAAGCACUGAGCCUCUGAACCUGUAAGCCAGCCCCAGUUAAAUGUGGUCCUUAUAAGACUUGCCUUGGCCAUGGUGUCUGCUCACAACAGUGAAGCCCUAACUAAGACACUGCUGCUCAGCUCAGCUCCCUGUCUCCAUUUCCAGGACCCAGUCAGGAAAUGCUGCUACCAUAGCGAGCAGCUCUUUCCCUUCUAAUUAAUGUAAUCAAGGCAACUCCUCACAGGCAUGCUCAGAGACCUAUGUUAACACCCACCUUUGCCCCCACAACAAGUGGGAGUGAAUUUGUUAAGGUGUUAGUUUGGUAGUGAGGGGAGUGAGCUUUGCCGAGAUGUGGCUCCAGUGUGUGAACCAGGUAGGUGCUUCCUACACAUGGGUCCCAUUCUGCCUCUUAACUCCACCUAGGAGUUUGGUUGGCAUGAGCACAGAUCUGACCGUGGGCUAAGAGUCAAAUAAGGCUAACGUGCUUGGGACACCCAUUCUCAGUUCUGGGGACAUUAACCCUUGUACAGAGCCACCCCAAGUGUUUGAAAGGACAGUGCCAUCUUAAGGAGUAAAUGAUUGACAAGACACACAAAGAUUGACCUUCUGUUUGGUUGACGGGUGAUUACAUUUAUAUUGCCAAGAUUUGUUUGGAAGCUUAGCAACAAGCUAAUGUUUCUCGAUUUUAUUUUUCUUUCUGUUUUGUUCUUUGGCAUGGGACAAGCCCCACCUCUAGUGCAGACACUUGGCAGCUCGGCCGACUUGAAAUGUGCUUCUGCUUCUAAGGAAACGAUGGCAGAGGUUUCUUCUACUCUAAGGGAAGUGAGUGCUGGGGAAUCUUGCUGGCUGCUUAUUUUCUUACUUGUAUCAGUUUUGUUAUAUGGAGGGUGGGAGAUGGGGGGGAAACGAUGUCCCUCUAGUCCUGGUGGUGUCUGUGUGACCUGUUAGCAAACAUUGUCCAGUGCUGAAACGGAGUACCUCAGAAGGGUGCACUGUUCUCUGCUGAAGUCACGGUAGAGUCAGGACAUGAUGGUUCGGAAUGUCUCGUUGGCAGAUGUGAGCCCAAUAGCUCUUUGGUGUAGUGUUUUCUCUUUAGGCUUACAGAGAGUUUUCAUUUUCAUAUUCAGUUUUUUUUAAUGUCCCCAUUUCUUUUGCAAUAUUAUUCACAAGAAGGUAAUGACUCCAACUGAACGCGGAACUCUUGCCGGCGCUCCGGGUGCAUCUGUGUUUAUCCAAGCAGACACGUCAUGGAUGCUUGGCCCACAUCCAUGAAGAGGGCCGCACCUCAAGAUGCUGAAGGACCUGGCGGGAAACAGGUCUUGGCAGCAGCCUCACCUGGCUUUGCAGCCAGGCUUGGGUUGAAGUCAAAGUCUAUGCGUAUUCCAAUGUGCGUGAUGUUGUACUCCCCCACUCCGUCAUGCUCGGUAAAGCUCUGACUAGUACCUACUACUAACUAGUACCCAUAUGCCUCCAUUUACUAAACAUCAGCACCUGUUUGAGGCAAAGUUGGGCCAGCUGUUUCUGGGUGUGCAGUUAGAGUGCUGACGCUUGAGUUUCACCCUAGGCACAAAUGCUGUAAAACCUUGUAUGUUUGUCACCCAUGCCAAGACAAAAUAAACCAUGCGGAAACUGCCAGUGCUCCU
rnacentral:lncRNA from 1 species